rnacentral:tRNA from 1 species
UCAAGUUAUAGUUUAUUAAAAAUAUUAGUUUUGGGAAUUAAAGAAGUGAAAUUUUUCAUUGACUUGAU